rnacentral:rRNA from 1 species
UACAGAGGGGGCAAGCGUUGUGCGGAAUUACUGGGCGUAAAGGGCGCGUAGGCGGCCUGCUAAGUCGAACGUGAAAUCCCUGGGCUCAACCCAGGAACUGCGUCCGAUACUGGUUGGCUUGAAUCCGGGAGAGGGAUGUGGAAUUCCAGGUGUAGCGGUGAAAUGCGUAGAUAUCAGGAAGAACACCCGUGGCGAAGGCGGCUCUCUGGGACGGUACUGACGCUGAGACGCGAAAGCGUGGGGAGCGAACAGG